UCAACGAAGAAGACUCUUGAAUUUUUAUUGAUUAUGAAUAAAGUUUUAAGAAGGAUUUGUAUAUUGUAUUUUUCCUUUUUUGUUUAUUUUUUUGUGUUUCUAUCUAUUAGACUUCUUUAAUUUAAUUUUCUUUGAUUUCAGGUGGAGUGAUUUCAAAUAUCUCUGCAUCAAUCAAUUGUUAGUUGCCCUUUUCAACCUUCUUUGCAUCAUUGCAUUCUCAUCCGUCGAAGACAAAAAUUAAGUUUGUCGUAUCCAACACAAAGCUUUUAUCUGAGUUGGUAGCGAAAUUUUAAUAUGGUAGUAUUGUAGACACGUAAUUUUGCCCCUCCCCGAAAGCAUUUUUUCUUUUUUUUACCUUAUCCUACCGUGUACCCUCAACCAUCUAAUCAUACCCCACAAAAAUACAAAAAUAACAAACUUUGUCUCAUUCUAAUAUUCCAACAACCCACCCAAUCAAAAAUGGACAUCUAACCCUUACCCCUCCGGUUAAAAAACAUCACACCCUACCCCUACCCCCACCUCACUACCCGACCUACCCUACCUCACUACCACACAAUUCUAAUUCUCACCAGAAAACCAUUAGCACACCUCACAGCAUAUAUACACGCACAAUAUUCAUCACAGAAGGAGUAUAUACACAACAACAUACAUACACGGUCAAACUCUAAUUUUUCCAUUAGCUUUCAUUUUCCUCCAUAGAACACACUCACAUACCAUCACUGAGUAUCACACACACGCACAGAUUCUCGAAUUCAUAGAGAGAGAUUGAGAGAGAUAAAGGUGAGAAUCCAAGGAGAGGUAGAGGUGGCGUUUGGUCACUGCUCCGGCGACAAAACGUCAAUAGUUAGCGGAAAAAGUGAAAUCGGCGAUCAAAAAAUACCACCCCACCACUACUCAAUAGCCAAAAAUGCCGGAACCAGCGAGAAUAUCAAAAACUCCGAUCGAAACUUAACAUACGCCACCUUUUGUCUCUAUUUUACCUCGCUGGACCUCCGGCGAGAUGGAAACAAAAAAUUCAGUUCCGGGUAUGCCGAGCUCCAUGGAUGGUUAAGUCGAAAUCUGCAAUUUUAGGUUUGCAAGUUGAGGAUUUAAUUUGAGUUGGAUUUUUCAUUGUCGUGGCUCAAGUUGAGGUUCGCGAAAGUGUAUUUUCUUAUAAUAUUCUCCGAAAGUUCUGAAUCAGGUUGGUUGAUGUUGAAUUUGAAUGUGGAAACUUGAAUUGGAAGUCGAAGCAUUGAUUAAUUAUUUUGUGAAUGAAUGCGGGAAGGAAUUGGUCUCGGUAAAAGUAAAUUUGGAUAAUUUUGAUUCAUUGAAGUUGUUGAACACGAUAGUUUCCUGAUAGGUCGAGAUGGAUAGGCAAACAAUAGGGGGGUGAUAGGCAAAUUAUGGAAUCGUAAAUUGUGGAAUGUUUGAAAUUUUGUUGCAUGAUUGUGGUCUUCUCUCAUUGAAAAUGUAUUCAUUUAGCCGGGGAAUACCCCGAGGGAUUUGUAUUGAUUUAUCCAGGAAUGCCCCAAAGUAUCUUGUACUUGGAGGACGAUCGUGAUGAAGGCCCGAGGCGUCGGGUAAAACACGGAAGUGUAGUUAGGAUUAGUAUAGGUUAGAUAGGAUUUAUUUUCGCAUUUUCCUAUCAGGACUGUAUAAAUUGCACUGGACGCUUUAUUUUUGAUUCGUUUUAUUUUGUAUGUUUGAUUGAUUGUUUUA